rnacentral:lncRNA from 1 species
UUACGUCGCUUCCACUUUUGGUUUAUCCUGAUUCUCUAUAGUUCCGACUUUAAUUUGCUGUUUACUACUGUAGUAUUUACUGCAUAUGCAUUGAUCUUGGCAUGCUUAGGGGAUAUAGAUAUGUAUCAUACAGAUAUAAUUUCUGAUCACGUCAAGAGCAAAAGAAAGUUAGAGUUUGUAUGUGGGUUGCAUAUUACAGUUCAGCAAGCGGCAGAGUUUGGGCACGCUACUAUGUUCAAAUUUGGUUUUAGUGUUUGAAUUUCUGAUGCAUGCACUUACUUUUAAAAGGCACUUUAAGCCAAAAGCCUUAAAUAAGCCAAAAAAAAUUCUUCGCUUUAAUAAAACUACAUCAGAUAAAGAAAAUCUGAAAAACGCUUAAGAUAACACACACACACACACACACAUAUUAUUAUUAUGUAUGGAUAAAUUAUAUCUGACAUUUAGCGCACUUAUAAAACCAAUUUUGCACUCCCUCGCGAAUUUUUUCCGAAACUGCUUGAUGUACGACCUCUAAACCUUUAGCCCUUGUGAGCCAAUUUGAUUGCAUGUUCCAUGACAAAGUAGUUCUCAUCUGCUCGUCACCUUUUAAUUUUUGAGCAUCAAAUUGGAAAGGAACAACAGUUGGCAAGAUCCAUUUGUCUGUAGUUUUGUGACUAAAUAAUAUCUAGUUGCCAAGAUAUGUAUCUUAAAGAUAUAUAAUUGUCGUGAAUAUUCUUGUCGUCUCAGCAACUCUGGUAUUCUUCUAGAUUCUAGAGAAACCUCCUUGGAACUUAUUUUACACAUUCAGCCCCAAUUAAGUUGUUGAAGUUCCCACUUCAUGCAUUUAGCCAUGCUGCAAUUGAAAGGACAAGAAUGUUUACAACAAUAUGUGUGAAAAUAUUAGUAACUACCAAAGCAGAUAUAUAACUUUAAUUUUUUUUGCAAAUAAGUUCCCACUCCUCUGAGGUUGCUUGACAGUGUGCAUUGAGUUUGAGAGUUGGGGAUCCAUCACAUUCGGAAAGAACACUUAUUAAAUACAUAAUAACUACCAAAGCAGAUAUAUAACUUAAAUUUUUUUUGCAAAUAAGUUCCCACUUCUCUGAGGUUGCUUGACAGUGUGCAUUGAGUUUGAGAGUUGGGGAUCCAUCACAUUCGGAAAGAAAACUUAUUAAAUACAUAAUACUAAAAAACAUUACAUAAAUAUAAAAUAUCCCCUCGACAUAAGUCCUUAUUUUUAUCAUAAGAGACCAGCCAAACCCGAAUGCUAAACUCCCCUUAAAAACUUAAUUCCAGAAAAUAGUAUGUAAAUGUAAAUUUUUUCCUCAAAUUAAGUCCUUAUUAUUAGAUUCUAUCAAGUACUGCAAUGAGAAGCGUAAGCACGCUUAUAGUUUUUUUCACUAGUCAAUAAUUUCUGUAUCCUUGUUCCAUGGCUGUAUUUAUUGUCAAAUAGCUUGGGGAAAGAGCUGGAUAGUUUCUCAAACAUGGUCGUGAAAUAAGGGGUAAAUCAUUCAGUGAUACAUAUGAGUUCAGGAUUCUUCAUAAUGUAAAUGAAGAAAUCAUAUUUUGUGGGGAGGAGAUGUGUACUAGAUCUGGUUUGAUAGUAUUAUAUUUACUUAGUAGCCAAGGACAAGAGGAUAUAGUAUUUUCAAUGAUACAUAUAUGCAAAAUUGACGAUGAUGCAAAUAUUUAGAAUGAUAGUAGGGGCAAAAGUAUAAAGUUAUCAACACCGUGACCUUUUUCCAUUAGCAACACCACAUACUCGACCAAAGGACUGCUGCUUAAUCGUUUUAAAUAUCGAAAGCACACUUAUGUGGUUUUACGAGAGACUAUAGUACAUGUGUACCAAAAGAGAGAAGGUCCAAAUCGCCAAAUAUGCCAUUAAUAGCCGGACCAUUCUCACUGGAGAAAUGAAUCAUUAAUCUAUAACAAACUCGUGUAUUGUUGUGACACAGUUCCAGAGUGUUUCCACUCCAAUGAAGUGUUGAAUUAUGUAUUCAGUAUUUUAAUAUGGAAAUGUUUUAGAAUCCCUUUCCUUUUCCCAUUAACCUUGUUGGUAAAUUGCAUCUGUAUUAUUUAGGUCAAUGUCUUUAAGUAUAUAAAAACAUACAAAUGGUGUGUUGAUAAAAAUGUAUAACUUGUUUAUGGCAAUGUGAUAUUAAUCAAUUUGUGAGCGUUUUUUUCAAUAAUCACGCGUAUAUUUUGGUAGAUGUAUUACAUUUAGCCGAACAUUCUUGAAACACCAAUGCAUUAGCUGAAUAUCUACAAUUGAAACGCAGUCCUAAGUCUAAACAAGUAUUUGAGAAUAUGAUAUGACUAUAUGACUGAACAUGGUGUUUUGCAGAUGUUAUGAUUACAUAAAAUUCUACAAAUGAAUAUAUAUAAGUGCAGACUUAAAGUUUUGAACUGUUGAAAAGGUUUACCUCAAAUUUUUAUUGUUUUUGAUUCUGUCGAACGCUCAUAAUCAACCCAAAUUUCUUGCAAAAAAACUUAUAAAGUAUCAUUUGAUUUACUAGUCGUCCAGUAUAUGUCCAGUCUCUUUGAAUGAUUAUUUCAAUCAUUUUGUUCACGAGGAGUACAUUUCCUUAAGACUGAUGGAGGGGAGACACUUCGGGAACCACUACUUCAGAACAAUACAGGAGUUUGUUACACGUUUCACCUUAUCUCUAUCCGAUGUGCACCUAGAUAGACAAGUGCACUUUUGAAAGCUGUAACGAUUAACUGGCCACUGCUUUUUU